rnacentral:lncRNA from 1 species
GGGAUCUUGGUGUAUUUUUCAGAUUUGCCACUCCAAAUGACGUUAGGCUUGCAGUAUUUAACUGCCUCUUUGUAUGCCUUGUCACCCCACGAACCGGUGACGACGUAAUCCACGGCGUCGUCCGGUGAGCAGAGGUUGAGGGGAAGGGCCGCGAAUUGGGUGGUGGCGCCGCCUUGGAGAAAGAGAACGGCGUAGUUUUCGGGGAUAUUAAGGAGGGUUUUGAGAUCUGAUUCGGCUUUUUGAAUAAUGGAGAGGAAUUCUUUGCCACGGUGGCUCAUUUCCAUGACGGACAUGCCACAGCCGCGCCAGUUGACGAGGUCGGCUUGGGCUUUUUGGAGGACGUUUUCAGGGAGGGUAGCGGGGCCCGCAGCAAAGUUGAAGACCCGAUCUGAGGAGGUGGAGGAUGAAGCUGUUUGGAGGGGGGUGGUUGUGGUUGAGCUGGCGGCUGAGCAGGUUAUAGAUACAGAUUUGUAUGUAGAGGUGAGGGUGGUGGUAGGGUGGAAAUGGGUGGUGGAGAAGGUGGCGAGGUGGGUGGUGGAUUUGAGGGAUGGGUGGUUCUGGUGGGUGGUGGGGUUGUUGAGGAGGAAAGAUUGGGAGGUGGCAGCUGACAUAGCCAUGGGUAUUAGAUUGUUGUUUGCCUAUUUCUUUUCCCUUUGGCUCUGGGUGUUGAGAGGGUUGGG